rnacentral:rRNA from 3 species
UACGUAGGGUGCAAGCGUUAAUCGGAAUUACUGGGCGUAAAGCGUGCGCAGGCGGUUCGGAAAGAAAGAUGUGAAAUCCCAGAGCUUAACUUUGGAACUGCAUUUUUAACUACCGAGCUAGAGUGUGUCAGAGGGAGGUGGAAUUCCGCGUGUAGCAGUGAAAUGCGUAGAUAUGCGGAGGAACACCGAUGGCGAAGGCAGCCUCCUGGGAUAACACUGACGCUCAUGCACGAAAGCGUGGGGAGCAAAC